rnacentral:rRNA from 1 species
UACGUAGGGGGCUAGCGUUGUUCGGAAUUACUGGGCGUAAAGCGCACGUAGGCGGAUUGUUAAGUUAGGGGUGAAAUCCCAGGGCUCAACCCUGGAACUGCCUUUAAUACUGGCAAUCUCGAGUCCGAGAGAGGUGAGUGGAAUUCCGAGUGUAGAGGUGAAAUUCGUAGAUAUUCGGAGGAACACCAGUGGCGAAGGCGGCUCACUGGCUCGGUACUGACGCUGAGGUGCGAAAGCGUGGGGAGCAAACAGG